rnacentral:tRNA from 1 species
GCCUGGGUAGCUCAGUGGUUGAGUGUCUGCCUUCAGCUCAGGUUGUGAUCCUGGGGCCCUGGGAUCGAGUCCCACAUCAGGCU